GAUGAAGAACGUAGUGAAAUGCGAUAAGUAAUGUGAAUUGCAGAAUUCAGUGAAUCAUCGAAUCUUUGAACGCACCUUGCGCUCUUUGGUAUUCCGAAGAGCAUGCCUGUUUGAGUGUCAUGAAAAUAUCAACCUUGACUUGGGUUUUGUGCUCUAGUCUCGGCUUGGAAUUGGGUGCUUGCCGCUUUUACGAGCGGCUCACCUUAAAUGUAUUAGCUGGAUCUGUCUUUGAGACUUGGUUUGAUUUGGCGUAAUAAGUAUUUCGCUAAGGACAUUCUUCGGAGUGGCCUCGUUUCUAGGACGCUUGUCCGCUUUCCAAUACAAGUUCCACCUCGUGGACAUGACUUUUUAUUAUCUGGCCUCAAAUCAGGUAGGACUACCCGCUGAACUUAAGCAUAUCAAUAAGCGGAGGA
rnacentral:misc_RNA from 1 species